UGGUGGAUCUGGAAAAAACCCCCCGGCUCCACAGGCAGAGCCUGCGCCGGCUCACCCUGCACAAUCGCAGGACUCUGCGGCCCCCAGGGACCUGCACCGGCAGAGGUGGGGGUGUCAGGGCAGCAGGAGGGCGUGCAGUAUGCCUUGCCACUCAGCUCGGCGGCGGCCACUGCUUAUCCAGGGCUGCAAAUUAGCAGCUUAGCGAAUUGGACCCCCAGAGCGGCUCCUAGCCCGGUUGCCUAUGCACCAACAGAGCCAAAAUGGCUCGGAUGUCCCUUCUUAGCCGGCGUAGUGCCAGGCGUGCCUGCUCCGAGACUGCCUGGGUGUGGUCCGCCUCCCUCCUUGGCGCUGGACUGUUCUGCACCGCUGCAGAACCGAGCCAUCGGCCUUUUAAUACAACAUCUGCCUUUGCUGACAGAGUUACCGAACAUAUCCCGGCAGCUGGGAGAAUUGGUCAGCCUGCAAAAACAGCUGCUGCAGAUAACAGAGGCACCCUGCCGUGCGGGGUGCGCCAGGCCCGCGCCACCAGCACCGCCCGCGCUGCCCACAGUAGCCGCGGCUCCAAACCAAGGAGCGGCAUGGCCGGUGGCGAACCCGGAAGUGGCGCUGCCACGGGAAAACCCGGAAGUGGUGGCAGCCACUGAGCGGCAGCAGGGGGCAGCGGCACCGAAUGCGGCUGGGGAGCGAGAAGCAGCAGCGGUUUCGGCAGCGGCACCGAGCGCGGCCGCGGAGCAAGGGCCAGCGGCGGUGCCGGAUGCGGCUGCAGCGCAAGGGCCAGCGACGGUGCCAAACGCUGCUGCGGAGCAAGAGAUGAGCGCCGUGCUGGGCGCGGCUGUAGCCCCAGAGAUGGUGGCAGCAGCUCCAGUACCGGUUCAGUUGGGACUGGCCGAGACGGCAUCCCGUAAAGAAGCUGCUGUUGAAACUGCAGCGCAGCCAACUGCAGUCUGUGCUGUCUGUUCUGCCUCUAGCCCACCCAGCCAAAGUGCCCCUCUCCGUCCACCUCUGUUCGCUCCCAGUGUCUCAGAGUUGCCUUUGCCUGAUGACUCAUCAUUGGGAAGUGAGGCAGAUGAGGUUCUGGCCCCAGGUUGUAAGGCAGCUGUAGCCAGGCGGCGAAGGAAAAGGCUGCACUUGUCUCACCCCUGGACCUUUCAGGACUGCACGUCUGCAGGUGACAUACAACUGCCCCGGGCAAAAGUCUGGGUAUGGAAUUUACUCACUAACCAGUGGGAAGGCCCUCAUGAGCUUAUAGUUUGGGGUUGUGGGUAUGCUUGCGUUUCCACAGAUACUGGGGUACGGUGGCUACCUUCAAAAUGCGUUCGCCCUGCCCUACGGCACCAGAGGCAGAACAGGCAACCUCCAACUGAUGACUAGAACGCCAACCAUCCAAAUGGCAAUCAGAAUGUAGAUCAUCAGCCUAAUGACUCUUCUGAUGAUGACCAGGAUAUCAACCAUCAGGCAGAUGGUCCUUCUACAAGCAGAGACUGGGAUGGUCCUUCCACAAGCAGAGACUGAACUUUAAAUUUCUUGUUAUGGAGUCAGAUAGUUAAAGCCUCAAGGACAUAUUUCGAAUUAAUAACUGAUGUAAAUUUCUACUUAGGAUUAAUAGUUGAGUUGUUCUCUUAUCAAACAAAAAGGGGGAAUUGUAGAUACAAAAAUGCUGCUAGCAAGGAUUUUCUUACUAUUUUCUAAGCCUGUGAGAGACUUUUCUCUCUCACAGAAGAGGUAGCAGAGUAUGUAAACAACCAAGCCACCUGCAACUUUGAAAAGUCUUGUUUAUCCAUUUUGACAAUGGAUGUUUUAGGAGUUUAGCCAAUCACCCCAAGGGGUGGCUGAUCCUUUGUCCAAUUAGACUAUGAAGAAAAAAGUCUAUAAAAGAGUUUGUAAAAUAAUUAAAUGAAGCAAUCUUACUGCACAAUUCCUGCCUGCUGGAUCUUCUCUCCUCCUCCUCCCUAUGGCUGCAGGACAUGGUGAUAUACCCUAGGGCCCAGGCCUGCGGUAAUACUUAGGCAGCUUAACUCAUAGUCCAAAGUUCUGGUCAGGAGGCAUAUUCAGGAAGGGGUGGACUUUGGUGGUUGCAGUUUCUUUAUACAGUUUUGCCAUAAAGAGCAAGAAGUCCUGCAUGAGAAUAUUUAAGCCCUUAGCCAUAACAUUUCAGUCUCUCACAAAAAGACACCUUGAAAUGAAUUCUACAAACCAAAAGUAGGAGCUACUACCAGCCAUGUUCCAAACCUAAAGCUUAACCCCUGCUGUGGAUACUAUGGAAUAGAAAACACAGGAUCCACCUCCCUGCAAGGAAAAGCUUUGUAAACAUGACUUUAGCAAUGGCAACAGAGUUCUGUUAGAGUUCCUUUCUCCUUUCACAGCCAGACUGCUUUCUAUAGAUACACUCUUAUUUAAAGCCAGCUGCACACUGUACUGCACAGAAAGAAGAUGUAUCCAGAUCCUAAAAUUAGGAAAGUUCUGGUC
rnacentral:lncRNA from 13 species